rnacentral:rRNA from 1 species
GAUGAACGCUGGCGGCGUGCUUAACACAUGCAAGUCGAACGGUGAACGAGGGAGCUUGCUCCCUCCGGAUCAGUGGCGAACGGGUGAGUAACACGUGAGCAAUCUGCCCUGGACUCUGGGAUAAGCGUUGGAAACGACGUCUAAUACCGGAUACGAGACGCGAAGGCAUCUUCAGCGUCUGGAAAGAACUUCGGUCCAGGAUGAGCUCGCGGCCUAUCAGGUAGUUGGUGAGGUAACGGCUCACCAAGCCUACGACGGGUAGCCGGCCUGAGAGGGUGACCGGGCACACUGGGACUGAGACACGGCCCAGACUCCUACGGGAGGCAGCAGUGGGGAAUAUUGCACAAUGGGCGCAAGCCCGAUGCAGCAACGCCGCGUGAGGGACGACGGCCUUCGGGUUGUAAACCUCUUUUAGCAGGGAAGAAGCGAAAGUGACGGUACCUGCAGAAAAAGCACCGGCUAACUACGUGCCAGCAGCCGCGGUAACAC